rnacentral:rRNA from 1 species
CCAUGCAGUCGAGGGGCAGCAUGGUCUUAGCUUGCUAAGGCCGAUGGCGACCGGCGCACGGGUGAGUAACACGUAUCCAACCUGCCGUCUACUCUUGGACAGCCUUCUGAAAGGAAGAUUAAUACAAGAUGGCAUCAUGAGUCCGCAUGUUCACAUGAUUAAAGGUAUUCCGGUAGACGAUGGGGAUGCGUUCCAUUAGAUAGUAGGCGGGGUAACGGCCCACCUAGUCUUCGAUGGAUAGGGGUUCUGAGAGGAAGGUCCCCCACAUUGGAACUGAGACACGGUCCAAACUCCUACGGGAGGCAGCAGUGAGGAAUAUUGGUCAAUGGGCGAGAGCCUGAACCAGCCAAGUAGCGUGAAGGAUGACUGCCCUAUGGGUUGUAAACUUCUUUUAUAAAGGAAUAAAGUCGGGUAUGCAUACCCGUUUGCAUGUACUUUAUGAAUAAGGAUCGGCUAACUCCGUGCCAGCAGCCGCGGUAAUACGGAGGAUCCGAGCGUUAUCCGGAUUUAUUGGGUUUAAAGGGAGCGUAGAUGGAUGUUUAAGUCAGUUGUGAAAGUUUGCGGCUCAACCGUAAAAUUGCAGUUGAUACUGGAUAUCUUGAGUGCAGUUGAGGCAGGCGGAAUUCGUGGUGUAGCGGUGAAAUGCUUAGAUAUCACGAAGAACUCCGAUUGCGAAGGCAGCCUGCUAAGCUGCAACUGACAUUGAGGCUCGAAAGUGUGGGUAUCAAACAGGAUUAGAUACCCUGGUAGUCCACACGGUAAACGAUGAAUACUCGCUGUUUGCGAUAUACAGCAAGCGGCCAAGCGAAAGCGUUAAGUAUUCCACCUGGGGAGUACGCCGG